UGAUUAUUUAAUCAUAAUUGAGGAGGAUUGCACCAUGAAAUUUCUUUUGGGAAAAUGACGUUGAAUAGCGAGAACAUGACAUCUUUGUUCGAUUAUAUUAAAAAUAAGAUUUUUAAUAGACUUCAAAAAAAGUUGAUGAAAUAAAUGUUUAAAAGUUGAUAAAAUUUGUAAAUCUUAUGAAAUGUGUAAUUAAAAUUAAUUGUUAACUUAGAUUUAAUUUUUUAUUUUUUUUUAUUAUUAUUUUUUUUUUUUACUAUAGCAAACAAGGACUCCAUUCCACUUUGGUCUUCAAGUCGCUUUGGAUUCCAUCUGACUUUGGUCUUCAAGGACCUCAGUUUCAGUAAACUUCCUACCGCAGAACGUUAUCCAACUUUUUGCCAAAACAUGUGGAGAUAAAAGAAGGAAAAUAUAGUUCUUGGAAAAUCCCAACUCCCAAAUUUUUCUUAUAUUUUUUUAAUUUAUAAGAAAUAGUUUUAUUAGUUGGUGUAUAAGAUAAAGACAUUCCAUUCUAGUAACAUCAUACUAAGCCCCUGUUUGAUAGAAUUUUUUUUUUUUCAAAUAGUUAUUUUUUUUUUUAAGAAUAUGGUCAAAAAGUAUGAAAAAAUUUUGGGUUUAUGUAAAGAAUAUUUUAUUGUGAGAAUAUCUAGUUAAAAAUAAGUAUUAGAAAAAAAGUUUUAAACAAAUAGUCUCUAUCUCACCACUAUUGAGUUGAUCAACUCCCUGAU
rnacentral:lncRNA from 1 species